rnacentral:rRNA from 1 species
UACGUAGGGUGCAAGCGUUGUCCGGAAUUAUUGGGCGUAAAGAGCGUGUAGGCGGCCCGAUUAGUCCGCUGUGAAAGUCCAGGGCUCAACCCUGGAAUGCCGGUAGAUACUGUCGGGCUAGAGUCCGGAAGGGGCGAGUGGAAUUCCUGGUGUAGCGGUGAAAUGCGCAGAUAUCAGGAGGAACACCAAUGGCGAAGGCAGCUCGCUGGGACGUGACUGACGCUGAGACGCGAAAGCGUGGGGAGCAAACAGG